rnacentral:rRNA from 1 species
AUUGAACGCUGGCGGCAGGCCUAACACAUGCAAGUCGAACGGUAGCACAGAGAGCUUGCUCUUGGGUGACGAGUGGCGGACGGGUGAGUAAUGUCUGGGAAACUGCCUGAUGGAGGGGAUAACUACUGGAAACGGUAGCUAAUACCGCAUAACGUCGCAAGACCAAAGAGGGGGACCUUCGGGCCUCUUGCCAUCAGAUGUGCCCAGAUGGGAUUAGCUAGUAGGUGGGGUAACGGCUCACCUAGGCGACGAUCCCUAGCUGGUCUGAGAGGAUGACCAGCCACACUGGAACUGAGACACGGUCCAGACUCCUACGGGAGGCAGCAGUGGGGAAUAUUGCACAAUGGGCGCAAGCCUGAUGCAGCCAUGCCGCGUGUAUGAAGAAGGCCUUCGGGUUGUAAAGUACUUUCAGCGAGGAGGAAGGCGAUGCGGUUAAUAACCGUGUCGAUUGACGUUACUCGCAGAAGAAGCACCGGCUAACUCCGUG